CGGCUUCAACAUCUACACCAUCAAAACCCAAGUAGAUAAUCAAAGAUGAUUCGACUGGUCGUUUUCUGUUUCGCAGUUGCCACCCUAUUCAAGGAGAUCAUUUGCGAGAUUGUGCCUCAACUGCAAUCCAGAGACCAUCCAUGUAGAAACUGUGGAAUCAACCGAAUCGACGUCGCUUCCUGCAAGGAGGCUGCAAAGAUGUCUUAUAGGAGGAGGAAGUCAAAUUCAGCAUGUAUUGACAUUGAUUGACAUACCUUAAUUCACGAAGAUUAAUUUUAAACGACUUCAUCGCACUUAAUCCAACGGCCGAUGCGUUCUGACCAAAUGCUUUCAUUGAUUUGUUGGGGAUGGAAACUAACUCAUUAAGAACGGCUCAACGUCCAAUUGUUUUGGGAUAGUAGCAGAUUUACUGUACCACUCCUAGUGUCCUGCAGGACAUUAGAAUUUGAAAUAUGUGCGGAAGGGCAGAGAGUAGUGUUUCGCAAUUAUUAAAAUUAAAAUUGUGAGAUAAAUCCAUCCAUAAUAAAAGGACACGUCCGGGGUGUAAUUUGUAUUCGGCGUUGUUUGAAUUGAAAUACGUGUAGGCUAAGACUAGUGAGUGCUAUUAGUGUAAUAGCUUACAAUAACUUAUACCCCCGCAGAGAUAACAACAGGAAUGAUUUAAUUACGACUGGCAUCUAAAUUAUCCGACGACGCUUUGCAUUAGUCAAAUUGAAAAUCUGCG